ACAAACUGCUUUUCACGAAAAGUACUUUGGCUACCGCCUCACACACAAUGUAGUGGUGGAUCCGGAACUUUAGUAAUUGAGUUGUACAACGUCUAUGCAGUUUGUAUGAAUAUAGAAUAAGGUGCAAGGGAUGCAGUAAUACUCCGUAUUUGUUUAAUCAAUUCAGUUAUCGAUAAUAAUUUGAAAUAUUGACUUACCGUUUAUGAGCUUGAGGCCGCAGAAAGAGGCAUUUCCAUUUUGUUCUAUCUUAGAAAUGCUUAAAAGUAUGCUGCUUCUUGUACGAAAUGUAUCGUGGCUAUAUCCUUUUGUCAUUGUAGAUUGGAGGCUCUCGCGUAGAGGGUCGUGAAAGCUUUAGAUAUACUCUAGAUCAGAUGCUGAAAUUGAGGGAGGUGGCUAACAUUUCCGACAAUGUUCUUAAAAUCAAAGAAGUUGCACCUCUACUAUUUCAUGAUGAUGCCAACGUGCCAGCGCAGUCUCAGGCUCGUUAUCUCCCGCUGCAGUUUCCUACAACACAACAACAAUAUACCCGGUGGGGUCUGGACC